AGUUUCCCCUCACAAAAGAGAAGAUGCCAAGCUCUAGCAAUGAGAGCGCAACUGAACCAGUUCCUAAAAGUGGAGCAGUGAAGUUCAAGAAAUGACCAGGGACCACACCACUGGAAAGCACACCCAUGGGUUAUGCCAUACCAAGAUAUCCCUCUCCAUGAAUCAGAUCUCUACCGUGCCUAGAAGCUGCUUUUGGGGAGCAGAGUUCAGAUACUCACCUGUGCUAAAAUGAGUUGAUCAGAGGGCACCCUGGGAAGCCUGGCAUUCUUCAAGAGGUUUCACCUGCAGUGAAACCUGACUCCCGUCUGCAGGACUGAAACCACCAGCCAGGGGCUUCUCCUUUGCCUCGUAACACGUUCAUCCUGAGAAGCCUCUGUGGAAAAGCUCUUUUCAGCUUAGAGCCAAAACCACCAGCAUCUCUCUUCCCAAAAGCUGGUACAGGAGAGAGAACAGAAGAGGGAAGGGACUGAUGAAGGUCAGGAAGAAAGCAAGGAUAAAGCAUAGCAGGUUUGGAAGCAGACAAAAGAGUGUUGGAAUUGUGACCAAAUGGAAGCCUGGGGGAAUGUUGCAAGUGGUGAGUAAAGCCUGGUAGGCACUUGGUGGGAAAAGGUCACGAAAAGACCCAGUGUAAGUAAGAGGAAAUGGCAGUGCUAGGACAAACAAGGGGAUACUGCUAAUAAAGCAAAGGUAGCCUCUUCCCUAAAGAGGCAGAUGCAGAUUAGAGACACAAAUUCAUUCAUCAGGAUUAUUAAUAUGGCCAAAGGGAAUCAAACCUACAAAAAAUCUUAUGAUGAUCUGGAUGAUGUAUCUUCUCAGAAAAUAGAAAAACAAAGUGAUUUCCAAAAAUAGGGCCUAAAUAUGAGCGAUCAAAAAACUGGACACAGGAAUUUUUCAGUAGAACUGGCUGUUCAGACUUUUUUCACCUUUAGGGCUUUGAAGAGCACCAGCUUCUCUAUCCACACAGUUUGAUAUGAUGCUCCUUUCUCUAGUAUGCCAAAAAAGGAAAACAUUGUACUGUCUGAAGAAAAUCCCAACAGAAUCUGUUUCUCUCAUAAAGCUACUUUGUGACAUGCAUAUUCCCAUAAAUUCUACCUGAAAGCCUUUUUCCAUAGUAAGUUUAAAGUUUGCAAAAUACUUGCAGAGCAAACUUGUAUGUGUACUCAGAGCACUGCUUGUCAUGAAAAGUACUGACAACAGCAGAACACCUCCAGCAGUAUGAAAACACACAUUUAAAACAGUUUCUAUUUUUGUUCUUUCAAGUGUAUUGUUUUAUUUUUCAGGCUGUUUCAGAGGUUGCAAACAGAUAUAUUGUUUGUUUUCUACUCUUAAAUGAUUUUUUUAAACAAAUGUAUAUAUAAAUUAAUUUUAAAAAUAUCUAUGGUAACUACUGGCUAUUUUUGCUGUGCUCAAAACACCAUCCAUUCCUUAAAUAGCCCAGAAGACACUAUUUUACACCAGAAGUGCCUGCCAUGAUGGAUUCAUUUUAUUUUAGCAAGAGAGAUAAAACGUGAAAUUCCUUAUAGCUAGUGCUUGUUAUUACAGUGCAUAGGGAAUUUCUUCACAAACACACACAAAAUUUUCCUCCAAUUCCAGACUGAAGAUACUUUUGCUUAAUUAAAUAUAUAUGCAAGUCCUCAAGAUAUACAAGGUGUAGUACAAGUUUCAGUGCAAUGAUUUUUAAAACUCACAAGGUGCCAAGGGGGGAAGACACUGACCUCAGAGUCAGCACAGUUCAGUACCAUUGAAAUGAAGCAGCUGUCUAUUUGAAAUGUUUUGAGAUCUGGCUGAAUAAACCAAGACCCCAAAAAUUCCCACACCUGUAGAAAAUAUGGACACUGCUUCGCUUUUGGCACAUCCCAGCCUGCUCUUGUUGCACAAACUCCUGCAUAGAAGGAGUUACAGCCAAACACUUUAUUCUUCCACAGUAAAGUAAUACUCUGUUUAAUGGCAUUUUUUUCUUGCCAGGGUUUGAGAAAGACAUCAGCACUGUCUCCCCAAAUUCCCUCUACACUGCAGUGUUUAAUGAUAUCUAAUCUAAAGUAAGAACAUGAUGCUUAAUGAAUAUGCAUUUGUCACAUGAAUAGGAGGAACAGAUUAACUCCAAAAGUCCCCUGUAAUCUGCUGGGAGAGAUACGUGAAGUGCAAGAGUCAGCACAGCCAGAAAACCUUCAAAAUAUUUUUCUUCAGCUCUAACUUGAAAAACUUCAAUGGUAAAGCUCACCUAAGGAGAAAUGGUGCUAACCACAGAUUUAUUUAUUUCCUGCUGAUGAGCAAGGCCACGUGAACAACUGAGAUUUUUUUUUAAUUGCAGGAGGGUGUCGGAGCUGCCGAGUUAAAAGCUUAAGCUUCCAGAUUGACACUGACCCUAUUUAUUAACACAAUAAUGGGCUUGUGGCUCCUGUGGCUUUCCAGGAUUUCAGAGAGCUAUAUGUAAGAGUUUUUUUGCUCUCCCAUUUCAGGCAGCUGGCAAGGCAGAGUGCAUGGUUGAAAGUACAUCAUGUGGUGUCUCCUGAAAGUUGACUGCAUUGCUUGUGAUCCUCGCUUUCAUGGCAAGGCAACAAAAUCCCUUCAGAAACCAUUUAUCUUUAAGAACAGAGGCUGACUUUAUUUUUUGGAAAUACAUGAUGUUUCUCAUACAAGACUUGAGGAGCAGAGCUUGGAGUAGUCUUUUGGGAGUCAGUCAGAUCAGCUUUCCCCUUGGGCAUGGCAGCUGGAGAACACCAUCCCUUAAGCCCUGGCAUCAGCCAUUUAUGGGAAGUUUCACUGCUGGGAACUAGCAGGGCUGGGAAGCAGGUGAAGGGCUGCUCCUCACCUGGCUCCUGCCUGACAGAGAGGCAGGGCUUGGAGCCUGCCCCAUUGCCUGCCAUGCCAACUUCACACAUUCCUUCAGGAUACUCAAGUCCCUUCACAAUGGUAUUUUCAGAUCUUGCAAAAUUUCUAAUUAGACAUUAACCCUUUAAUAUCAAACUGUAAUUGAUCCUGCCUAGAGACAUGUAAGAUUUCCAACAAACACAGAACAUGUUGUUGAAAACAUGGCCUAUAGGAAAAAAAAAAAAGAAACUUUUAUGUCAGUACAAGUUUUCCUGUUUAUAUUUUUGAUUACUGAAGAAGUGUUUACCAAUUUU